UGGGCGAAAGCCUGACCCAGCAACGCCGCGUGUGUGAUGAAGGCCUUCGGGUCGUAAAGCACUUUUCUGGGAGAUGAGAAAGGACAGUAUCCCCAGGAAUAAGUCUCGGCUAACUACGUGCCAGCAGCCGCGGUAAAACGUAGGAGGCGAGCGUUAUCCGGAUUCACUGGGCGUAAAGCGCGUGCAGGUGGCGCGGUAAGUUGGGCGUGAAAUCUCCCGGCUCAACUGGGAGAGGUCGUCCAAUACUACCGUGCUUGAGAGCAGAAGAGGAAGAUGGAAUUCCCGGUGUAGUGGUGAAAUGCGUAGAUAUCGGGAGGAACACCAGUGGCGAAGGCGAUCUUCUGGUCUGUUUCUGACACUCAGACGCGACAGCUAGGGUAGUAAACGGGAUUAGAGACCCCGGUAAUCCUAGCCGUAAACGAUGUGAACUUGGCGUUGGUGGGUUAAACUCCAUCAGUGCCGUAGCAAACGCGAUAAGUUCACCGCCUGGGGACUACGGCCGCAAGGUUA
rnacentral:rRNA from 1 species